GCUCGGUUGGUGUAAUGGAUGCACAAGGGUCUUCUAAGCCCUCCUGUAUAGGUUCGAAUCCUAUACCGAGUACCA
rnacentral:tRNA from 1 species